rnacentral:pre_miRNA from 2 species
AGAGAAGGUAAAUAACUUCCCCAGUGACAGGCCAUCAACAGUCCAAUGAAGACAUGAAGACCCAAUGUCUUCAUUGGACUGCUGAUGGCCUGUCACUGGGAAAGUUAUUUAU